UACGUAGGUGGCAAGCGUUGUCCGGAAUUAUUGGGCGUAAAGCGCGUGUAGGCGGCCUGCUAAGUCUGAUGUGAAAGCCCGAGGCUCACCCUCGGAAGUGCAUUGGAAACUGGCAGACUGGAGUCCCGGAGAGGAGGGUGGAAUUCCUGGUGUAGCGGUGAAAUGCGUAGAUAUCAGGAGGAACACCGGUGGCGAAGGCGGCCCUCUGGACGGUGACUGACGCUGAGACGCGAAAGCGUGGGGAGCAAACAGG
rnacentral:rRNA from 1 species